rnacentral:rRNA from 1 species
UACGAAGGGGGCUAGCGUUGCUCGGAAUCACUGGGCGUAAAGGGUGCGUAGGCGGUUCUUUAAGUCCGGGGUGAAAUCCUGGAGCUCAACUCCAGAACUGCCUUUGAUACUGAAGAUCUUGAGUUCGGGAGAGGUGAGUGGAACUGCGAGUGUAGAGGUGAAAUUCGUAGAUAUUCGCAAGAACACCAGUGGCGAAGGCGGCUCACUGGCCCGAUACUGACGCUGAGGCACGAAAGCGUGGGGAGCAAACAGG